GAUGAACGCUGGCGGCGUGCCUAAUACAUGCAAGUCGAGCGAACAGACGAGGAGCUUGCUCCUCUGACGUUAGCGGCGGACGGGUGAGUAACACGUGGAUAACCUACCUAUAAGACUGGGAUAACUUCGGGAAACCGGAGCUAAUACCGGAUAAUAUAUUGAACCGCAUGGUUCAAUAGUGAAAGACGGUUUUGCUGUCACUUAUAGAUGGAUCCGCGCCGCAUUAGCUAGUUGGUAAGGUAACGGCUUACCAAGGCAACGAUGCGUAGCCGACCUGAGAGGGUGAUCGGCCACACUGGAACUGAGACACGGUCCAGACUCCUACGGGAGGCAGCAGUAGGGAAUCUUCCGCAAUGGGCGAAAGCUUGACGGAGCAACGCCGCGUGAGUGAUGAAGGUCUUCGGAUCGUAAAACUCUGUUAUUAGGGAAGAACAAAUGUGUAAGUAACUAUGCACGUCUUGACGGUACCUAAUCAGAAAGCCACGGCGAACUACGU
rnacentral:rRNA from 1 species